GCCAGCGUGGUGUCAUGGUUUGGAUGUUGGAUUAGGAGACUGGAGAUCAGGGUUCAAAUCCCUGCUCUGCCA